GGAGAAUUGAAGAUACAAGGGAAAACUAAGACAUGACUAUGUAAGACUAAUGUGACUCCCACUGCUCCCCUCCAUCCUCCCUUACCUGACUACUCAGUCUACUAAUCCUCUCUCUGAAUUUUGUUUCCCCUCUGAAGAGACUUGAAGACCAGCAACAAAAGUCCACCAAGUGAGGAGCCCCCAUACCAUCUGGGCUGGUCCCAUACUUGAGGGGAUCCUGAGGAAUGCUCCAGUAAACUGCUAGAUGUUAUUUCCUUAAAGCUUCAAGAGGAAACUAAAAUUAAAAUUAAUGGUAAACCUUGCCAAAUUCUCGUAGAUACCAGGGCUAUACUCCCUACUUUCAACCUCACUCGCUCUGGAGACAGCAGAUGGGAUCCUGGGGAAACUGUCAGAAGCCAGCAAAGGAUGAGAAUUCACACCAGAGUCAGCUAUUCUGGAUCUCUGUACUGUCCAGUAGAGAGAAGGAGGCCUUCUUCCCUGAGCUAAACGAAACCAUGUACCCAGGGGGAAAGAAAAACAUUCCAAAGACAAACAGCUCUAAAUCUAGAACACAGGAACUACCAACCAAAUGAUCUCUCUAAGACAGAAAAGGAACAACAGGAAUGACUGACUUGGAGAAUGUGAACUGGACAUCAUGACCUGUGAACAGCACACAGAUAUUCAGCAAAAAUUGUGAGAACUCCCAAGCAGUAGCUGGGAGGAGCUGUGCUCUGGGAUUAUAAAGGUUCAAUGCUUUGAACAUACAGCAUCACAGACACAGGAGGAACCUCAAGGAUGUCCAUCAGCCCAGGACCUUUGUCUUCCGGGAGAGAACACCUACUUCCAGGGACAGGGGAUAGACUUAACCGGGUCAAACAGCAAGAAUGUCACCAGCCACACCUGCCACCUCUCCAGUACGCAACCAUAGCGUAGCAGGAUUCUGCCACAGAGAGUCAUGACACGGAGGCUUUUCUUUCCAGGAAGCAACUUCAUUCCUGCUGACACCGCUCCGUUGGGUUCUUAGCCGAAGAACUGAGCCCCGAACGCCAUGUGGCCUAGUUUUUUAAUGUAUUUUUUUCCUUCUUUGUCUCCCAUAUACGGUAACACCCAAACAUGUAGUCUGAUUAAGUGGUCUCAUGGUACAAGGUCGUGAGGGAUGUUGUCGAGUAAGCGAAGAGCAAGGUUGCCUGGAGGUUAUUUUUUUCUUUCCUUAGAUAGGGGACCCUACUGCAAUAGUGCCUCCAUACCCAAGGGUCUCAGCACGCUAUGCCACUGUGUACUUGUUAGGACUGCCAUAACAAAAUACCACACACUGGGUGGCUUAAACAACAGAAAUGUGUUGUCUCGCAGUUCUGGAGGCUAGAAGUCCAAGAUGAAGGUGUGAGCAGAGUUUAUUUCCUUUUAGGCCUCUCCUUGACUUGCAAAUGGCCGUCUUCUUGCUGUGUGGUCACAUGGUCUUCCCUCUGUGCACCUGCAAGCCUGCUAUCUUUCCGUGUAUCCUAAUUUUCUCUCGUGAUGACACCAGUCAAAUGAAAUCAGUGCUCACUCUAACAGCUUCAUUUUAACCUUAUCACUCCUAUAGAGGCCCUAUGUCCAAAUGCAGCCACAUUCUGAGGUACUGGGGGGUUAAGCCUUCAACAAAGGAAUUUCAGGGGUACACAAUUCAGCCCGUAACAACUCCCUGUUUCAGGGAUGCUUACCCUGUUCCCUUAACUAAAUCCUAAUCAUCUUCUGCAUCCCAACUUAAACACUCCUUCCUUAAAAGAGCCUAUCCUAACAGCCUCUCACUUCCUAGAGACAAGUUCAGGCCCCUUUCGAGGCACCCU